CCCUCUCUCUCUCUCUCUCUAUAUAUAUAUAUAUAUCUCAUAGUAUUUAUGGUGUUGUUGGUAACUAGGGUUUUGUUUGAGAUAAUUUCUCUCUCAUAGUAUCUAUUUUGUUGUUGGUACUAUGCCAUGGUUCAUGCUAUCUGUUAUUUCUCUAACUAGGGAUUUGUGUCAUAUACUCUAGCUAUUUGUGUAUAAUUUCCCAUAUUUUACUGAGUCGGUGCUCUGAGGGUCUCUGUCACUGACUUGCAAAUCCAUUUCAUAGAUUCAUACAACAGUGGCCAUGAAAAGAAAAAGAAAUACAACCCAGAAAGAAGGGUAUUCUAGUUCAAUAACAGAUCUUCCGAGGCCUAUAAUGGUCGAUAUUCUACUAAAGCUCCAUGCAAAUUGUAUUCUAGUUUGCAAGUGGGUCUGCAAAACUUGGUUCAGUAUAGUUUCUGACCCUCAAUUCACCAAGAUGCAGUUUGCGAAGGCCGAGCCCUGUGCUCUUCUUCGGACCGUGGACUCAACACAUGUUCCCGACUCAAGAACGCUUUACUUGGUUGAGCCUGAAGACUGCCAUAAUUUCAAUCUUGGAUACUGCAUGUGUGACGACAAUCCCUGUUUCAAAUGUGACCGUCAUAUGAAGCUUGACACCAAAUUGAAGAUCCCAUUGCGCAAUGCCGAAAUGGUGCUCAGUAGUAGUGAAGGGGGUGAUGCACAAAUGGCUUGCCUCCCUAAUGGCCCAAAUUUCAAAAUUGUGAAUUCUUGCCAUGGUAUGCUCUGUUUUUCUGAACCGGUGUCUAAAGAACCUGUGGCUGUGUGUAAUCCAGUCACGGGUGAGUAUAUAAGCCUUCCUAUGACUAAAAGGGCUGAGGAAAAAAACCAAUAUUUUGUAGAGUGUGGGUUUGGCUUUAGUCCUCGGACUGAUCAAUACAAGGUGGUUAGAAUGUUUGAACGGUGGAGUGGUGAUCCCGUUAUGGGUAUGGCAUAUUUGAACACUCCUCCGGGCCGAUAAAUUAUGGUAAAGGGUUUGAGAUAUACACUCUCGGCACUGCAGGAUCAUGGAAAAGCAUUGGGCAUACUCCCUUUUUAUAUUCUGACCUAGCAUCUUCCACUUAUCUGGAGGGAUGUGUCCAUUGGUUGAUCACUGUUGAUUUUAGUUCUAUUGAUUACAUGUUUUCAUUUAACGAAUCUAGUUCUACUGAUUAUAUAGUUUCUUUUAGCUUUGACAAUGAGCAGUUGCAAUUGUUUCCAUCGCCGCCUCAUGAACAUGAUGGAUCUGAUGAAGACGAUGACAUCAGUAUGGUCAAUUCGUGUGUGAAGUAUAAUGUGUCCAUGGGAGUGUUAGAAGGUUGUUUGUGCAUAUGUGAUGCUUCUAGUCAUGAUUUCAUUGACAUGUGGGUUAUGAAGAUAUAUGGUGUUCAGGAAUCUUGGACAAAGAUGUUCACACUUGAUAAUCAACCUGAUCAGAGGUGGCCUAAUGGUUUAUAUCAGCCGAUAAAUUACCUGAAAAAUGGGGCAGUGGUGAUGUUUCGUCAAUUUGUUAAAUGUGCUCUAAUUUGUUACGACCCUGAAAGGCCAAAUAUUAAAUAUCUUAAGAUUUGUGGCGCUGAAUCAAAAUUUGAGGCAAUUCCUUAUGUUCCCAGUUUAAUUUCACUUAAGGACGCCAUUGUUGGAGAGAAUGUUGUCGUGCUGAACAUCAGUUCAAGGCAUGCAGGAAUCAAAGUGCAGGGAGAGACUAAAGCUCUUUCAUUGGCAGAAGUUACGGAAAUGGAACUUACUUCAAAUUGAUGGUCUUCUGAUAAUGAAUAGAAGAAGCAUUGGUGUCAUACGCGGUGAUGCAAAAAUGUCUGCUAAAUUUAAUGGACUAGUAAUAUUUUGCUUACUAUGUUCUGGUGGUUUUGGGUAUUUU